UACGAAGGGGGCUAGCGUUGCUCGGAAUUACUGGGCGUAAAGGGCGCGUAGGCGGAUAUUUAAGUCGGGGGUGAAAGCCCAGGGCUCAACCCUGGAAUAGCCUUCGAUACUGGAUAUCUUGAGUACGGGAGAGGUGAGUGGAACUCCGAGUGUAGAGGUGAAAUUCGUAGAUAUUCGGAAGAACACCAGUGGCGAAGGCGACUCACUGGCCCGUUACUGACGCUGAGGCGCGAAAGCGUGGGGAGCAAACAGGG
rnacentral:rRNA from 1 species